GUGGCCGUACUUUUACCCACAUGCCUCGACUCCAUCCAUUAUUUGAAGACCAAGUGAUUCUCCACUCCACAUCUUGUAACUGACACUCAGAAUGGCGGAGGAGAAGCAGAAGCUCAACGGCGAAGUCGCCGGACGAUCGUUGGUGGAGGUGAAUCCGAAGCCAAGUAAAGGGCUUGCAUCGAAGGCCACCGAUUUGUUGGAGAAGCUGUUUGUCAAGCUUAUGUAUGAUUCUUCAAGGCCUCAGCAUUAUCUUUCCGGUAAUUUCGCUCCGGUUCAUGAUGAGACUCCUCCCAUUACCGAUCUUCCUGUUAAAGGUUAUCUUCCGGAAUGCUUAAAUGGAGAGUUUGUUAGGGUGGGGCCAAAUCCGAAGUUUA
rnacentral:misc_RNA from 1 species